UGGGGAAUAUUAGAAAUUGGCGGCAGCCUGAUCUCGGACCAGCGCGUGUGCUAAUAAGGCCUUCAGGUUGUUAAGCACCUUUUGUACGGAUUGGGAAGGAAUGUACUUCCAGAAUAAGUCUCGGCUAACUACGUGCCAGCAGCCGCGGUAACACGUAGGAGGCAAACGUUAUCCGGAUUUACUGGGCGUAAAGCGCGUGUAGGUGGUUCUGUAAGUAGGGCGUGAAAGCUCCUGGCUCAACUGUGAGAGGCCGUUCUAAACUGCAGAGCUAGAGGAUGGUAGAGGGAGGUGGAAUUCCGGGUGUAGCGGUGGAAUGCGCAGAUAUCCGGAGGAACACCAGUGGCGAAGGCGGCCUACUGGACCAUUCCUGACACUCAGACGCGAAAGCGAGGGUAGCAAACG
rnacentral:rRNA from 1 species